rnacentral:rRNA from 1 species
AUUGAACGCUGGCGGCAGGCUUAACACAUGCAAGUCGAGCGGAGAUGAGGUGCUUGCACCUUAUCUUAGCGGCGGACGGGUGAGUAAUGCUUAGGAAUCUGCCUAUUAGUGGGGGACAACAUUCCGAAAGGAAUGCUAAUACCGCAUACGCCCUACGGGGGAAAGCAGGGGAUCUUCGGACCUUGCGCUAAUAGAUGAGCCUAAGUCGGAUUAGCUAGUUGGUGGGGUAAAGGCCUACCAAGGCGACGAUCUGUAGCGGGUCUGAGAGGAUGAUCCGCCACACUGGGACUGAGACACGGCCCAGACUCCGACGGGAGGCAGCAGUGGGGAAUAUUGGACAAUGGGCGGAAGCCUGAUCCAGCCAUGCCGCGUGUGUGAAGAAGGCCUUUUGGUUGUAAAGCACUUUAAGCGAGGAGGAGGCUACCUGGAUUAAUACUCUAGGAUAGUGGACGUUACUCGCAGAAUAAGCACCGGCUAACUCUGUGCCAGCCGCCGCUGUAAUAC